rnacentral:sRNA from 1 species
GCCAGGCAGUGGUGGCACAAGCCUUUAAUCCCAGCACUUGGGAGGCAGAGGCAGGCGGAUUUCUGAGUUUGAGGCCAGCCUGGUCUACAGAUCGAGUUUCAGGACAGCCAAGGCUUCACAGAGAAACCCUGUCUAGAAAAUAUAUAUAUUUGUUUUUUCGAGACCGGGUUUCUCUGUAUAGCCCAGGCUGUCCUGGAACUCACUCUGUAGACCAGGCUGGCCUUGAACUCACAGAGAUCUGCCUGCCUCU